GACGAACGCUGGCGGCGUGCUUAACACAUGCAAGUCGAGCGGUAAGGCCCUUUCGGGGGUACACGAGCGGCGAACGGGUGAGUAACACGUGGGUGACCUGCCCUCAGCUCUGGGAUAAGCCUGGGAAACCGGGUCUAAUACCGGAUAUGACUCCAUGACGCAUGUUGUGGGGUGGAAAGCCUUGUGCGGCUGAGGAUGGGCCCGCGGCCUAUCAGCUUGUUGGUGGGGUGAUGGCCUACCAAGGCGACGACGGGUAGCCGGCCUGAGAGGGCGACCGGCCACACUGGGACUGAGACACGGCCCAGACUCCUACGGGAGGCAGCAGUGGGGAAUAUUGCGCAAUGGGCGAAAGCCUGACGCAGCGACGCCGCGUGUGGGAUGACGGCCUGG
rnacentral:rRNA from 1 species